rnacentral:rRNA from 1 species
AUGGAUCAGGAGUUGAUCGAGCACCUUGAGGCCAAAGUGAGUGUUGACAGCGCGAGUUCUCACCCUCCCAUCGCUUUUUUCAUACCAACUAUCGACAGCGAGCACGGCAUAUGCUACACCCAUCCUGAGAAACUUCCAGGUAUCACACUGAGUGGCCUAAGCAAGCAUUUCUUCCAGCGCAAUUCUAGGGCGUUCAAAAGGGGCAUGUGGACGCGUCGCAAGAUACAGUCAGAGUGCAGCAUGCACGUGAUGUGGCACAAGACGGGCAAUACCUUGCCGGUGAUGGUCAACAGCCGGCAGACGGGCAGCAAAAAGGUUCUAGUGUUGCACACCAACAAGAACUUUGACCGGCAGAGGACUAACUGGGUGAUGCACCAGUACCACCUCGGGGACCUGGAGCAAGAGAAGGAGUUGGUCCUCUGCAAGAUUUUGUACCAGACGAACACUAGGGCCAGGACUAAAAGAUUAUAA